rnacentral:rRNA from 1 species
UACGAAGGGGGCGAGCGUUGUUCGGAAUUACUGGGCGUAAAGGGUGCGUAGGCGGCCGUGCAAGUCUGGCGUGAAAGCCCCGGGCUCAGCCCGGGAAGUGCGCUCGAAACUGCGCGGCUCGAGUGCCGGAGGGGAGAGUGGAAUUCCUGGUGUAGCGGUGAAAUGCGCAGAUAUCAGGAAGAACACCAAUGGCGAAAGCAGCUCUCUGGGACGGUACUGACGCUGAGACGCGAAAGCGUGGGAGCGAACAGG